AGAAUCAACGCUGGCGGCGUGCCUAACACAUGCAAGUCGCACGAGAAAGGGGAGCAAUCCCUGAGUAAAGUGGCGCAACGGGUGAGUAACACGUGAAUGAUCUACCUCCGAGUGGGGAAUAACUGAGAGAAAUCUUAGCUAAUACCGCAUAACACUUACGAGUCAAAGCAGCAAUGCGCUUGGAGAGGAGUUCGCGGCCGAUUAGUUAGUUGGCGGGGUAAUGGCCCACCAAGACGAUGAUCGGUA
rnacentral:rRNA from 1 species